GCUGGUGUCCGUGAUGACUUAUCUUUUUUCCCCAGCAGACCGACAGUGUUGAUUGCUCAGGAAUUUAAGCCAAAACCUCUGAAACACCAGC